GACGAACGCUGGCGGCGUGCUUAACACAUGCAAGUCGAGCGGAAAGGCCCUUCGGGGUACUCGAGCGGCGAACGGGUGAGUAACACGUGAGUAACCUGCCCUAGACUUUGGGAUAACCCUCGGAAACGGGGCCAAUACCGGAUACCCCUUCUAAAUCGCAUGGUUUGGUUGGGAAAGUUUUUCGGUCUGGGAUGGACUCGCGGCCUAUCAGCUUGUUGGUGGGGUAAUGGCCUACCAAGGCGAGGACGGGUAGCCGGCCUGAGAGGGCGACCGGCCACACUGGGACUGAGACACGGCCCAGACUCCUACGGGAGGCAGCAGUGGGGAAUAUUGCACAAUGGGCGGAAGCCUGAUGCAGCGACGCCGCGUGAGGGAUGACGGCCUUCGGGUUGUAAACCUCUUUCAGCAGGGACGAAGCGUAAGUGACGGUACCUGCAGAAGAAGCGCCGGCCAACUACGUG
rnacentral:rRNA from 1 species